CCUACGGGAGGCAGCAGUGAGGAAUAUUGGUCAAUGGGCGCGAGCCUGAACCAGCCAAGUCGCGUGAGGGAAGACGGUCCUAUGGAUUGUAAACCUCUUUUGUCGGGGAGCAAAAGACGCCACGCGUGGCGUUCCGAGAGUACCCGAAGAAAAAGCAUCGGCUAACUCCGUGCCAGCAGCCGCGGUAAUACGGAGGAUGCGAGCGUUAUCCGGAUUUAUUGGGUUUAAAGGGUGCGCAGGCGGAAGAUCAAGUCAGCGGUAAAAUUGAGAGGCUCAACCUCUUCGAGCCGUUGAAACUGGUGUUCUUGAGUGAGUGAGAAGUAGGCGGAAUGCGUGGUGUGGCGGUGAAAUGCAUAGAUAUCACGCAGAACUCCGAUUGCGAAGGCAGCAUACCGGCGCUCAACUGACGCUCAUGCACGAAAGUGUGGGUAUCGAACAGGAUUAGAUACCCGGGUAGUC
rnacentral:rRNA from 1 species